AUUUUGACUGUUAUGGAUUUGGAAUGAGUAACGAGAAGAUGGUAGGGUAGGGUGUAGAGUGCAGAGUGCAGAGUGCAGAGUGCAGAGGAUAGGGAAUCAGAACAAUCGCGGUUUGUUUCCUCGUUCUGAGCUCUAAUGGAAGCGCUAUCCCUUCCCAUAAACACUCUCACGAAAUCCUCUGCUAAACACAUUCCUCUCGCCGCUAAUUCUAAUUAUGCCUCACUAUCUUCCUUACAAUUCAAUCCUUCUUUCACAACCACACCCCACACCUUGAGGAAGAGCCUUCUUCGAGUCCAGGCCCAGAGUGAGGAUUAUGAAUUGAAGCAAAUGAGGGACAUGGCUGCUGCCAGAAAGAGAUGGGAAGCUCUGAUCAGAGAUGGAAAAGUUAAAGUUCUUACCCCAAGGGAAGCUGGCUAUGCAGUUCAGCUUUCAAGCAAGCCCCUUCUUGAUGUUCGGCCCUCGAAUGAACACAAAAAGGCAUGGGUGAGAGCUUCAACCUGGAUUCCAAUAUUUGAUGUUGAUAAUAAACUAGAUUUUGGAACCAUUCCCACAAAAGUCACAAAUUUUGUCAUGGGAGGUUGGUGGAGUGGCAUGCCUACACUGUCUUAUGACAGCCAGUUCUUAGCCAAAGUUGAGGAGAAGUUCCCCAAAGAUUCUGAAUUAAUUGUUGCAUGCCAGAAGGGGUUGAGAUCACUUGCUGCUUGUGAACUACUGUAUAAUGCUGGCUAUAAAAAUCUGUUUUGGGUUCAAGGAGGAUUUGAAGCUGCUGAAGAAGAGGCAGGAUCUCAUUGUGGAGGGCCCAGUGCCUCUCAAGUUUGCUGGAAUUGGUGGCGUUUCAGAAUUCCUUGGUUUUACUGAGCAACAAAGAGCAGCUGCAGCCAAGGAAGGUUGGGGAUAUAGAUUAGUGUUUUCUGCACGCCUGAUUGGAGUCUUUCUUGUUGCUGAUGCACUAUAUAUUGGUGCUCAGCAAAUUGGGCGCUAUCUUCAGGAUAUCAAGACCCAUUGAGGUAAGUAUUUGAUUGAUCCUCACGGAGACAAUAAUGCUUGUGGAUGAGCAUAUACAGACAGCAGGCUAAGGAACUCAAUUUUGGAUGCUGACCCUUAGCAUAGUCUCACUGCCCAUCCUUUAGUUAAUAUGAUUUGCCAGCAGACGCUUUCCGAGAUUGUCAUAAUUACCCCCCCCCC